rnacentral:rRNA from 1 species
AGAGUUGAUCAGUGGCUCAGGACGAACGCUGGCGGCGUGCUUCAUACAUGCAAGUCGAACGAGAAGCAGUCUUCGGAUUGUGGAAAGUGGCGGACGGGUGAGUAAUGUGUAGAGAAUCUGCCCUAGAGAGGGGGACAACAGUUGGAAACGACUGCUAAUACCGCAUAUGAGCGUACCUGAGAUGGUAUUCUUGAAAAACUUCGGUGCUCUAGGAUGAGUCUGCAUCUGAUUAGCUAGUUGGUGGUGUAAUGGACUACCAAGGCGACGAUCAGUAGCUGGUUUGAGAGGAUGAUCAGCCACAAUGGGACUGAGACACGGCCCAUACUCCUACGGGAGGCAGCAGUGGGGAAUAUUGCACAAUGGGCGAAAGCCUGAAUGCAGCGAUGCCGCGUGGAGGAAGAAGGUUUUCGGAUUGUAAACUCCUUUUUUCAGGGACGAUAAUGACGGUACCUGAAGAAGAAGCUCCGGCUAACUACGUGCCAGCAGCGGC